CGUGUGAAAUGUAGUGAGGGCGUUCAGCAGUUGUGGAUUUGCAUAGGUUUGAAUGUAUUGUGUUGUAAAAUACUCUCAAGCGAAGAACUUGAUUUGUUUGGUCCACUUUGAUGUACACAGUACCGUUACUUUCAUUUCAUGCAAUUGCUCUGCUUGGUCCACUUUGAUUUGAGCAAUUUCAACUUGAAUUCAGUACCGUCACUUUCAUUUCAUGCAAUUGAUCUGCUUGGUCCACUUUGAUUUGAGCAAUUUCACCUUGAAUUCAGGUAAUUGGUUUGUUUAUCAUAAUUGAUACAAUUAAAGUCAAGUAACUGAUUUGCUUAGUAUAGUUUGAUAUCAGUAAUGUCACUUUGAAUUCUUGUAAUUGAUUUGCUUAGUACAGUUUGAUAUCAGUAAUGUCACUUUGAAUUCCUGUUAUUGAUCUGUUUGGUCCACUUUGAUUUGAGUAAUGUCUCUUUAAGCUCCUGUUAUUGAUCAUCUUUGUUGACUUUAAGUAAUGUCAAUUUCAUUUCAAGUAACUGAUUUGCUU